rnacentral:rRNA from 1 species
CCUACGGGAGGCUGCAGUGGGGAAUAUUGGGCAAUGGGCGCAAGCCUGACCCAGCAACGCCGCGUGAAGGAAGAAGGCUCUCGGGUUGUAAACUUCUUUUAUCAGGGACGAAGCAAGUGACGGUACCUGAUGAAUAAGCCACGGCUAACUACGUGCCAGCAGCCUCGGUAAUACGUAGGUGGCAAGCGUUAUCCGGAUUUACUUGGUGUAAAGGGCGUGUAGGCGGGAAAGCAAGUCAGAUGUGAAAACCAUGGGCUCAAACUGUGGCCUGCAUUUGAAACUGUUCUUCUUGAGUACUGGAGAGGCAGACGGAAUUCCUAGUGUAGCGGUGAAAUGCGUAGAUAUUAGGAGGAACACCAGUGGCGAAGGCGGUCUGCUGGACAGCAACUGACGCUGAGGCGCGAAAGCGUGGGGAGCAAACAGGAUUAGAUACCCCAGUAGUC